GAUGAACGCUGACAGAAUGCUUAACACAUGCAAGUCUACUUGAUUCUACUUCGGUAGUUGAUGGUGGCGGACGGGUGAGUAACGCGUAAAGAAUCUGCCCUUUAGUUUGGGAUAACCUUUGGAAACGAAGGCUAAUACCGGAUAUUAUGGAGACGUCGCAUGACGACUCCAUGAAAGCUAUAUGCGCUAGAGGAGGACUUUGCGUCCCAUUAGUUAGUUGGUGAGGUAAUGGCUCACCAAGACCGCGAUGGGUAGCCGGCCUGAGAGGGUGAUCGGCCACAAGGGAACUGAGACACGGUCCUUACUCCUACGGGAGGCAGCAGUGGGGAAUAUUGGACAAUGGGCCACAAGCCUGAUCCAGCAAUUCUGUGUGCACGAUGAAGGUCUUCGGAUUGUAAAGUGCUUUCAGUAGGGAAGAAAAAAAUGACGGUACCUACAGAAGAAGCGACGGCUAAAUAUGUGCCAGCCGCCGCAGUAA
rnacentral:rRNA from 1 species